AAAUAAAAAUCUUUCAGAAGAAUACAAAGGUCUGAAAUCUUACCGCCUUUCGACGUAUGGAAGUUCGGAAGAAUCUCGAUGUAACAAGUGUCCUUAAAGGAAGUUAUGACAAAAAUUUUCCGACCAUACUGCCAAAAAAGGUAAAACGUUUGCUAGUAUUACACAUUGAAGAAUGCAUGGAUACGUUCAUUGCUAAUUUAUU